UUAAGUCCUAUAAAUUGCAUGUUGUUUGUUAAAUUUUCAAACCAAAAGAUUUCUAGAGUCGUACGUGUGAGAAUCACUCAAUGGGAAGAAAAUAUAGGAGAGAACUUAUAGUGAUAAUGGAGUUAAUUAUGCUCAUUCUUAUUAAGGUCCAAGCUAGUGAUCUUGUCAUGAUUCCCUCUUUCAUUCCUCUUCAAGCCCCCUUUCCUCCUUCUGAUCCCCUUGAUAAUUAUAAUGGUCAUAGCCCAUUAAAUAUUUGCCUUGAUACCAAACUUGAAAGUUGUGAAGAAAGGAAAAAAAAAUUGCGACCUGAUCAAUUCGACCGUUGCAUUCAUAUUGCAUUCAUCAAUUGUUUCGGCAAAGCUAUCCCUGAAGACCCAGCGUAUAAACUUGUUAAAAAGUGCUAUGCGUUUUGCAGAGUUUUUGAGGAAAUGAAGUACCAUCUAUAUACAACUUGUUUGAAAAUAUGUCAUAAUCGUUUGAUCAAAAAGAAGCAUCUAUGAUCUCAAAUUCAGAAUGAGCUAUGUGUUGGUGAUUUCAAAUUGUGCAAUAAAAUGUCGCAUGGAAGCUAGAAGGAUCUUGGACUCGGUGCAGAUCAUAGCAACUUUUACUGCUCAUUUUGUUUAUGUUUGUCUUGAAAAUAAGUGCAUGUACUGGCGGUAUUGCAUGUUUAGCAAAGAAAUAGGAUUGUUUGAUAUAAUACUGGAAGGCGAUGCAAUGCAAAUGGUCAAAGCGAUUUUCACAGAUCUUUUAACUUGGAGCAAGUUUGGUCAUUUCAUCGAGAGAAUCAAUGAAAUAGUGAUGUCACUCCGGUCGUUUAGAGUGGUACAUACGAGGAGGGAAGCUAAUUCAACGACACACAUUCUAGCUAAAGCAACUUCGGCUCAAGCCAGAGACUUAAUUUAUUUGAUUGGAAGAAGUCUCAGACUUCCUAUCUAAUAUUAUUUGUAGGGAAUUUGUUGUUCCUACGGUCCUACUUUUUAACCCUCUAGGGGUUUUUCUGAUUAUUAAUGAGAAGUGGCUUUUCGGUUUAAAAAAAUAAUAAUAAUAAGUGCAUGUACUUAUUAUUUUGAAAGUAAACUGCUUAAUUAGCAGCAUCUUUGUAGAAAUACAUUCUAUUUACUAAUUCACUGGAAAUUAACUAA